rnacentral:rRNA from 1 species
AUUGAACGCUGGCGGCAGGCCUAACACAUGCAAGUCGAACGAGUGGCGGACGGGUGAGUAAUGUCUGGGAAACUGCCUGAUGGAGGGGGAUAACUACUACAAACGGUAGAUAAUAACGAAUACCAUCAGAUGUGCCCAGAUGGGAUUAGCUUGUUGUUGUGGUAACGACUACCCAAGGAGACGAUACCUAGCUGGUCUGAUAGGAUGACCAGCCACACUGGACCUGAGACACGGUCCAGACUCCUACUGGAGGCAGAAGUGGGGAAUAUGUCACAAUGGGCGCAAGCCUGAUGGAGCCAUGCCGCGGGUAUGAAGAAGGCCUUCGGGUUGUAAAGUACUUUCAGCGGGGAGGCGUUACCCGCAGAAGAAGCACCGGCUAACUCCGUGCCAGCCGCCGCGGUAAUUC